AUAGCCCACUUCCUGAGUGAAAAUGGAGAGAAGAAUGUAAACAAUUUGACCACCUUUCAUUAUCAAUCAUGCUGUAUAUAAUUAUUUGAUGUUCAUACUGUAGUAAUAUGGUGUCCCGUAAUUGGAAAUAACUUUUAGAUGGCAAGCACACGAAAAAUUGUGCGGAAUUCGUUUACUAUGGAAAACAGGCGCACCUGCACACAGUUCCUAAAGUUUCAUUUCUCGUUAGACUUCGUAAAAAGACUAGAUAAUAUACACCGGCAGUGAUGUUAUCGAAGAAAAAAGACUCUGGUAUUAAUGAUGGCAUCGCAGGAAAAUAUGUCAAACGUGAAACCCCACCCAUGCUCAGAAACUAUCACACACCUGUCCGCCAGACCCCAAAUUUCCAGCGGCGUAGUGUCAAAACUCCUGCAACAUUCUACGUACCACAACAAGCAGCCGGCAAUGUAAUCGGCAGCAGAGCCCAGGUGCCGACCCGCUCCAAUGUCCAAUCAAACGUCAGCUCACUGGAGACUCGGUCCCAGCAGUUGUCUCCCCUAACUCAACAGAGAAAUACUCAGAGUGCCCCUCCAAAUAUAGCCCAGCUGUCCCAGGGGCUUCAGAACCUGAGCGCGGGGGACCGAUCAGAGGGGGCCUCAGGCUCUACCAGUUCCCUGACCAACCAAGGUUCCACCACCAGCCAGGGGACCAUAGCUUCUUCGGGGUACGGGAGUGGUCCACAGCCCGCUGUGUCAGAGGCCCAGCAGGGGGCAGGGCAGAGAAACAACCUGGGAGCCAUCAGAGAAGGUAUCAAAUACAUCACAAUUAUAGUAAUCUCUCUUUUGUUAAUGUUAGUAAAUGUCUAUCCUAAAAUGUUAUGGAUUACAUGUAUUUAUGAUCAUAUUUACAUGUGCAAGGUUGGUAGCCUUUUUCUUGGUAAGAAACUUAUUUUGAAAUUCAUUGCAGAUUUGUUGAUUAAGGAUAUGUAACAGUUUGAGAAGAACUGAAGAUAAAUAAAAUUGAGUGGAAGUCAUUAACAUCAAUGAAAAAGAGUCUAUUCCGGAGUAAUUAUUAAUAGAUAUCCAUUACUUAAUUGCAGAUUUCCAUGAAGCGGGUAACCUUGGCGGGGCCCAGGGUAACUUCACAGACUACCACAGCCAGUUUGAUGAGAAUUACCAAAUUCAGCAGUACCACGAGGAGAUCAGGAACCAUUAUGCACAGCAAAGUGGAGGUCAUGUGAGCAGCACGCAGCACAGUCUGCAGUCCAGCACACAGCAGUCCAGCACAAGUUCAUGUAAGUACAGCAAUCAAUGUGCUGACAUGAUGCAUCAGUACCCUGGUAGUAUAUUUCAGCACUCUAUGGAGAGCCAGAGAUGUCCACAGACUAUUUCUUGUAUCACCAGCAGUACUCAAAAUACUGUCACAAACAGUAGUCAAAAUACCUUAAACAAAAGUAUUCAAAAUACUCAGUCUUUGACUUCUGCAACAUCUGAAAACCAAAGCUUUGAUGAGACGCCAUCAUUUUUGGAAGCUUGCCAAAGUGCACAAGCAAAAGCACUAAAAGACCCAGACAAUUUAUACAGUAUCCAUGGUGGUUAUCAGCAUGAUAAAUCUUCCAGCAACUUGAAUCCUGAGGGCAACCAAUCACUUGACAACCCAGGGUAUGUUAGCUACGAUCAGCCUUCCAGCAACUUGUGCAACAUUCAGUCCAUGCAGACUUCCAUUAGCACAAACUCUCUACAGCACAGUAGCAGCCAAUCCACCAUAACAGAGAACCAGCAAAAUUUCAGCAACAUAAUGCAACAUUCCAGUAGCAGUAUGCAACAUAGUCACUCUACAAGUUCUUUCCAGUCUUUCAGUUCAAUGUCUGAGUCUUCCGUCUCUGACACAGGCCCUGUAGUCAAUUGGCAGUAUAGUCCUCUCCAACAGGACAGUGCUGAUGUGCUGCAGACUAACAGUACAACCAGCACAAUGCACAGCGUGCUGUCCAGUAGUUCACUGUGUAGCAGUUCAAGCAGUGCUGAUGUGCUGCAGACUAACAGUGCGAACAGCACAAUGCACAGCAUGCUGUCCAGUAGCUCACUGUGUAGCAGUUCAAGCCUUGUCACAAGUAGUGGAAUAAGUGAAUCUGUUGUGUAACAGUCCAGUACUAUUCAUUCAGAUAGUUCAAGCUUAAUUAACACUACGCUGAAAUUUAUGUAGCAACACUUUCACUCUUUGACAAAAUUAUUAAUAGCUUACCUGAUAAUGACAUAUAUGAUAUUUUUGAAUGUGCAAUCAUUACAUUAUCAAUAAAUUCAAUACCAUCAUUGUAAAGAUUAUCAUAAUAAAUUCUGAAAAAGUUAGCAAGUUUGUUUUGUGUUUUGUAUUAAAAAAUAUGAAUUGUGAAAGAGUAUCUGUAAAGAUCAGAUAUAUGAAUAUACCAUGACAAAGGAAAAAAUAGACAUUAUGUGAAGCUUGCAAAAUAUACAUUCUUUGUAAAAAUGUGACACUGUGACUUAAAAUACCCUCUCAGAAAAAUUUGCUGAAUCUUAAAUAUGUUGGUGUACAGUAUAUGAAGUAUGU
rnacentral:misc_RNA from 1 species